AGGAAGGCUCUUGGGUCGUAAACCUCUUUUCUCAGGGAAGAACACAAUGACGGUACCUGAGGAAUAAGCAUCGGCUAACUCCGUGCCAGCAGCCGCGGUAAUACGGAGGAUGCAAGCGUUAUCCGGAAUGAUUGGGCGUAAAGCGUCCGCAGGUGGCNNUGUAAGUCUGCUGUUAAAGCGUCUAGCUCAACUAGAUAANAGCAGUGGAAACUACAUAGCUAGAGUACGUUCGGGGCAGAGGGAAUUCCUGGUGUAGCGGUGAAAUGCGUAGAGAUCAGGAAGAACACCAGUGGCGAAGGCGCUCUGCUAGGCCGUAACUGACACUGAGGGACGAAAGCUAGGGGAGCGAAUGGGAUUAGAUA
rnacentral:rRNA from 1 species